GUGGAGAUAUCAUCGCAGCCAGUUUUGGAAAGUACCAUCUGCCGCACUCCUCCACGAAGCCUCACCCUCCUCCACAGCCAGAUGACUGCGCCUUCUCGGGGCUCCCGGGAGACCCGGCGCUCGUCUCUGUAGGACACCCACCACACACCGACGAGAUCCUCCUCAUAGGUCAGCUUCUCCCCCCUGGCCGGCUCCUGCCCCCACCUGCAAGCUGCUGCCUGGCAGGACAGACAGGAUUCUGUGCGGCUAAGGAACCCACUGGCCUAGGACCUUGUCGCUGGGAAGCUUGACACGAAACCGUGAAUUCCCUCAUCGCGGGACCAUGGCUGCCUGCGGACGGCUGUGCAGCAGAAUCCAGAGGAAUGCCUGCAAAAUUGCAUUUGAAACAUUUGAAAACAUUAAUUAAUAUAAG
rnacentral:lncRNA from 12 species